AGCUUUGCUUAGUGGCAGUAUCUUAGCCAAUGAGAUUUAUCUGAGGUGUGAUUAUUGCUAAUUGAAAACUUUUCCCAAUACCCCGCCGUGACGACUUGAAAUAUAGUCAGCACUGGCAAUAUUUGACGGUCUCUACGGAGA